UACAGAGGUCUCAAGCGUUGUUCGGAUUCAUUGGGCGUAAAGGGCGCGUAGGCUGCGGGGUAAGUCGGGUGUGAAAUCUCGGAGCUUAACUCCGAAACUGCAUUCGAUACUGCCGUGCUUGAGGACUGGAGAGGAGACUGGAAUUUACGGUGUAGCGGUGAAAUGCGUAGAUAUCGUAAGGAAGACCAGUGGCGAAGGCGGGUCUCUGGACAGUUCCUGACGCUGAGGCACGAAGGCCAGGGGAGCAAACGGG
rnacentral:rRNA from 1 species